rnacentral:rRNA from 1 species
UACGGGGGGAGCAAGCGUUGUUCGGAUUUACUGGGCGUAAAGGGCGCGUAGGCGGCGCAACAAGUCACUUGUGAAAUCUCCGGGCUUAACUCGGAGCGGUCAAGUGAUACUGUCGUGCUAGAGUGCGGAAGGGGCUACUGGAAUUCUCGGUGUAGCGGUGAAAUGCGUAGAUAUCGAGAGGAACACCUGCGGCGAAGGCGGGUAGCUGGGCCGAUACUGACGCUGAGGAGCGAAAGCGUGGGGAGCGAACAGG